GACGACGCUGGCGGCGUGGAUUAGGCAUGCAAGUCGAACGGUAUCAUCCUUUCGGGGGUGAGAGAGUGGCGAACUGGUGAGUAACACGUAGGUUAUCUACCUCAAGACGGGGAUAACCCAGGGAAACUUGGGCUAAUACCGGAUGUGAGCAACUUUAGUUGUUUGAAAGGUGGCGUAAGCUGUCGCUUGGGGAUGAGCCUGCGUCCUAUUAGUUAGUUGGUGAGGUAACGGCUCACCUAGGCAAUGAUAGGUAGGCGGCCUUAACGGGUGGUCGCCCACACUGGGAUUGAGAUACGGCCCAGACUCCUACGGGAGGCAGCAGUCGAGAAUAGUCUACAAUGGUCGGAAGACUGAUAGUGCGACGCCGCGUGAACGAUGAAUCCCUUCGGGGUGUAAAGUUCUUUUAUAUGUGAGCAGUGCUUCUUAUAUUAACAGUAUGGGGAGAGAGAUAUUAGCAUAUGAAUAAGCAACGGCUAACUCCGUG
rnacentral:rRNA from 1 species